AGAAUCAACGCUGGCGGCGUGCCUCAGACAUGCAAGUCGAACGCGAAAGUCCCCUUCGGGGGACAAGUAGAGUGGCGCACGGGUGAGUAACACGUAGGUAAUCUACCUUUGGAUGGGGAAUAACCACCGGAAACGGUGGCUAAUACCGCAUAAUGCAGCGGCACCUAAUGGUGACAGUUGUUAAAGCGGGGGAUCGAAAGACCUCGCGUCUAAAGAGGAGCCUGCGGCGGAUUAGCUAGUUGGUAAGGUAAUGGCUUACCAAGGCUACGAUCCGUAACCGGCCUGAGAGGGCGGUCGGUCACGACGUGACACGUGACAUACGGGUCA
rnacentral:rRNA from 1 species